rnacentral:rRNA from 1 species
AGUAAUUUAUUACUUGCUGACGAGCGGCGGACGGCUGAGUAACGCGUGGGAACAUGCCCCAAAGUGAGGAAUAACUGCCCGAAAGGGUAGCUAAUGCCGCAUAUGAUCUUCGGAUUAAAGGAUUUAUCCGCUUUGGGAGUGGCCCGCGUACGAUUAGGUAGUUGGUGAGGUAAUGGCUCACCAAGCCUACGAUCGUUAACUGGUCUGAGAGGAUGAUCAGUCAGACUGGAACUGAGACACGGUCCAGACUCCUACGGGAGGCAGCAGUGAGGAAUCUUCCACAAUGGGCGAAAGCCUGAUGGAGCGACGCCGCGUGCAGGAUGAAGGCCCUCGGGUUGUAAACUGCUUUUAUAAGUGAAGAAUAUGACGGUAACUUAUGAAUAAGCACCGGCUAACUACGUGCCAGCAGCCGCGGUCAUACGUAGGGUGCAAGCAUUAUCCGGAGUGACUGGGCGUAAAGAGUUGCGUAGGUGGUUUGUUAAGUGAAUAGUAAAAUCUGGCGGCUCAACCGUACAGGCUAUUAUUCAAACUGGCAAACUCGAGAAUGGUAGAGGUAACUGGAAUUUCUUGUGUAGGAGUGAAAUCCGUAGAUAUAAGAAGGAACACCAAUGGCGUAGGCAGGUUACUGGACCAUUUCUGACACUGAGGCACGAAAGCGUGGGGAGCGAACGGGAUUAGAUACCCCGGUAGUCCACGCCGUAAACGAUGGAUACUAGCUGUUGGAGGUAUCGACCCCUCCAGUAGCGAAGCUAACGCGUUAAGUAUCCCGCCUGUGGAGUACGGUCGCAAGACUAAAACAUAAAGGAAUUGAC